rnacentral:rRNA from 1 species
AUUGAACGCUGGCGGCAGGCUUAACACAUGCAAGUCGAACGAGUGGCGGACGGGUAAGUAAUGUCUGGGAAACUGCCUGAUGGAGGGGGAUAACUACUGGAAACGGUAGCUAAUACCGCAUACCAUCAGAUGUGCCCAGAUGGGAUUAGCUAGUAGGUGGGGUAAUGGCUCAACUAGGCUACGAUCCCUAGCUGGUCUGAGAGGAUGACCAGCCACAUUGGAACUGAGAAAUGGUCCAGACUCCUACGGGAGGCAGCAGUGGGGAAUAUUGCACAAUGUGCGAAAGCCUGAUGCAGCCAUGCCGCGUGUGGGAAGAAGGCCUUCGGGUUGUAAAGUAUUUUCAGCGGGGAGGCGUUACUCGCAGAAGAAGGACCGGCUAACUCCGUGCCAGCAGCCGCGGUAAUAC